rnacentral:rRNA from 1 species
AGAGUUUGAUCCUGGCUCAGAACGAACGCUGGCGGCAUGGAUUAGGCAUGCAAGUCGAACGCUCAUCUUCGGAUGGGAGUGGCGGAAGGGUGAGGAACACGUGAAUAAUCUGCCCCCAAGUUGGGAAUAACUUGCCGAAAGGUAAGCUAAUACCGAAUGUGGUUGUUUUUCCGCAUGGGAAAACAACUAAAGAUUUAUUGCUUGGGGAUGAGUUCGCGUCCCAUUAGCUAGUUGGUAGGGUAAUGGCCUACCAAGGCCGAGAUGGGUAGCUGGUCUGAGAGGAUGAUCAGCCACACUGGGACUGAGACACUGCCCAGACUCCUACGGGAGGCUGCAGUCGAGAAUCUUUUGCAAUGCGCGAAAGCGUGACAAAGCAAUGCCGCGUGCCGGAUGAAGGUCUUAGGAUUGUAAACGGCUGUCACCCGUGACGAAAAAUGACGGUAACGGGAGAGGAAGCCACGGCUAACUACGUGCCAGCAGCCGCGGUAAUACGUAGGUGGCGAGCGUUGUUCGGAUUUAUUGGGCGUAAAGGGUCCGUAGGUGGUUUGUUAAGUCUGACGUGAAAUCCCAUGGCUCAACCAUGGAACUGCGUUGGAGACUGAUGAACUUGAGUAUUGGAGAGGUAAGCGGAAUAUCAGGUGUAGCGGUGGAAUGCGUAGAUAUCUGAUAGAACACCAAAAGCGAAGGCAGCUUACUGGACAAUUACUGACACUGAGGGACGAAAGCGUGGGGAGCAAACAGGAUUAGAUACCCUGGUAGUCCACGCCGUAAAC